rnacentral:rRNA from 1 species
CGGACGGGGGAGUAAUGUCUGGGAAACUGCCUGAUGGAGGGGGGUAACUACUGGAAACGGUAGCUAAUACCGCAUAACGUCGCAAGACCAAAGAGGGGGACCUUAGGGCCUCUUGCCAUCGGAUGUGCCCAGAUGGGAUUAGCUAGUAGGUGGGGUAACGGCUCACCUAGGCGACGAUCCCUAGCUGGUCUGAGAGGAUGACCAGCCACACUGGAACUGAGACACGGUCCAG